CCUACUUGAAAGGUCAGAAGUAUAUCUUUUUAUUUUCCUUUUCUGCAAUGGCAAACAAAAAAUUUUAGUCAGAUCUCUGCCAUAAAAUCUUUUGUUGAUUUUAGUAAAAGAAUGUGUUUGAGCCAUGCCCUGCUCCAUACUUGCAAGUAGUUUGGACGUGGGACCUUGUUGAUGUUCAUCUGCUUGAAAUUCUGAUUCCAGUUCACAUACAACCUCAUUAUUUUUGCAGAUAACUGUUUCUGAAUCACUACUUUUAUACUACUCUCAACAAUCUAUUUUAGAAUUCCUUUCUCUCCUGCCAUAGUAGGAUAUUUAAGCGUUUGUUUGGAAUUAGCCUUAUGAUAUAAAUAUUUUAGAAAAAUAUUUUUAGAAGUAGGAGUUUGCAAAUAUAAUAUAGGAUGAUCAUAGAAAGAAGAUAGCUACAAAUUUGCAGUCUUAUAAAUUUGGAGCGAAGAGGUACAAAGUGCUGCUGACAUAUAUGGCCCUUGAAUGUAAUGAGUUGCUAGUCUGACAUUUCUAACUUUUGCUUUGAUCCCAAGGUUUUGACUGAGCUGAAUUUAUUUAUUUUGUUUUCUUUUCCUUUCUUUUUU
rnacentral:misc_RNA from 1 species